AGUCAAUGGUAUCUAAUAAGGUUUACGACCCACCCUUAGUGAUAUUGAUUUUUGACUUUGUAUCUUUUCUAUUUCAUUUUUGAAUUUGAAUUUUUGCAUCAGAAUUGGAUUCUGUUUGAGUGUAUUUGAUUGUAUUCACCCGACAGAAUCCAAAUAGGAUUAGAAAGAGAACUUCUUUUUAUUAUUCGAACGUACCAACUAGUUAUGAAAUCGGAUUGAUAGCCUCCACCCGUGUUCUAGCUCNNNNNNNN
rnacentral:lncRNA from 1 species